UCAGGCCCCUCACGCGGCGUCACCCAGCUCAACUCCCCCAGGGCCGGAAGGCAGCAAGGGUCGGCAGGCUCUGUCGGGUGCGUGAGGGGUCCCGGCA
rnacentral:SRP_RNA from 1 species